AAAAAAUUAGUUAAAACAUAAUAUUAGUUUGUCAAGCUAAAGUUAUCAACAUUGAUAUUUUUUA
rnacentral:tRNA from 1 species